UACGAAGGGGGCUAGCGUUGCUCGGAAUCACUGGGCGUAAAGGGUGCGUAGGCGGGUCUUUAAGUCAGGGGUGAAAUCCUGGAGCUCAACUCCAGAACUGCCUUUGAUACUGAAGAUCUUGAGUUCGGGAGAGGUGAGUGGAACUGCGAGUGUAGAGGUGAAAUCGUAGAUAUUCGCAAGAACACCAGUGGCGAAGGCGGCUCACUGGCCCGAUACUGACGCUGAGGCACGAAAGCGUGGGGAGCAAACAGG
rnacentral:rRNA from 1 species